GACGAACGCUGGCGGCGUGCCUAAUACAUGCAAGUAGAACGCAGUUGCGAACGGGUGAGUAACGCGUAGGUAACUGCCUGGUAGCGGGGGAUAACUAUUGGAAACGAUAGCUAAUACCGCAUACUACCAGAUGGACCUGCGUUGUAUUAGCUAGUUGGUGAGGUAACGGCUCACCAAGGCAACGAUACAUAGCCGACUGGUGAGGGAGAUCGGCCCAAAUGGGACUGAAGCACGGGCCAGGCUCCUACGGGAGGCAGCAGUAGGGAAUCUUCGGCAAUGGGGGGAACCCUGACCGAGCAACGGCGCGUGAGUGGAGGAGGUUUGCGGAGCGUAAAGCUCUGUUUUUAAGGAAGCGGUACUUAACCAAGAAGGGACGGCUAACUACGUGCCAGCCGCCGCGGUAAUUC
rnacentral:rRNA from 1 species